rnacentral:lncRNA from 1 species
CACGGUAUGACCCACACAGCUGAGGAAGAGCAGGGCCUGGGGAUUCCUUCAGAGGGGCGAAGAGGUGUCGGAUGACAGGCACGCUCCAGGACCUUCCCAGCAGCUUCUGGCGGGCACCACGGCCCAUGUUGGACACGUCUGUGUAGUGCACAGGAAAGCCAAAGAUCCUGGGGGUACCGGAGUGAAAAGACAGCAAGUCAGAAGUGCCUCCAGGAUGUUGACAGCCUCAACCAGCCAGGUCCCACUCUUUCUGCCCUCGCCAUCCCUCAGUCCCAUCAGUAAGGUCCCCAAGGACCUAAAUUCAGAGCCCUUAAUUCAGAACACUUGCUUACAAAUUGCUCACAAAUGAAAGUCCCCCGUUUUGUGCAGGCCUAGCACCAUACUCUUGGCAUAGAGUUGGUGCUCAGAGGACCUUCCUAGAAUAAAUGCAUGCAUACUAAAUCAGCCAGCCAGCAAUGUAUCCAUUUUCAAAACACUAUGAUGGGAGAAGUUAAGCAAUUUCCUUAAUAAGGAACAAGGUCACUCAAAAACAGCCUAGAUUUUCAGUCAUCACAGGCUCAGGCAACCAGAGUUUUCCUUCCCUCUUCAAACCCAGCUGCCGGAUGAAGGACCAUGCUAGAUGACUCCAGGCAGAUGGCAUCAAAUAUACCAAAAGCUUCCUCUAUAGGAUUCUACCAGGCCUGGAAAGAGGCUACAGAGGCUGAGCCUCAGUGUUACUCAGGUAUACAAUCCAAUACUAAAAGUCAUCCCAACAGGCCAAUGGCUGCGUGGGUUAUUCAGAAACAUGCCAAAGAUGUGAUACCUCAGGCCUGUGUCUUGCUUGGUCUUAGCGUCUACACAAUGUCAGCCAUCUGCACCAACCAUUUUAGGUUUAGGUCCAUACAGAAUAAUCUACAGCAUAAAUACUAAUCAGAAGUUACUUUUAUACUCAGAAAACUGUUGGUAAGUCAAAGAAGAAAUUAAAUGAGUUAUAGAAGUGAAAUAUCUGGAAUGAAAAUACUCUAUAUCAAAGCCUUCAGAAUACAGAAUACAUGUAAAGAGGAAUGUUCAAAGCCAUAAUCACUAUAGCAAAUAAUGAUUUUUAAAAAAUAGUAUAAGCAAAAUGAACAAACAAUAGAGGAGUGAAAGAAAACAGAACAGAACAGAACUGAAAUCCAAGAGAUGGUUAUUUGCAUCAAAACAGACAAACUUAGCCCAAAGAAAGGGAAGGAGAGGAUAAACUGUGGCUAAGAAGGAAUCAUUUAUAGAAUGAGCAAACUGAAGUCUUCAAGAAUGGCAUGUCUGUGGGGUUUUCUUUCACUGGCUUCUCACACAUCGUAGUGUCCCAGCAUGUUGGGACAGGCAGAUGUCACGGCAGUGCAGCCAACAGACAGAUGGUGUGGCCUAAUGACCUCAUGUCUCAGAUUCCUCACCACCACCACACCCCCUCCGCCAUUUUUGUCAGGAAAUAAGGGCGAACUAUGAAAAGGUAUUAUUACUCCUCGCCCCAGUAACACCAAAGGGCAGUGAGGCCAUCAAGAAUGAAGGUAAGCACCUGCCCAUGUCUGCCCAUUUGUGUUUUGAUCUACACAGUUUCCCUCUCCAAGUGCAGCCUUGCUCACCUUUCGAGCUCAGUGCACCACAAAACAUCUUCUUUGCCAUUCAUGACAACAGGGAAAAGUUGGUUUUUCCCCUGUUUGAUCGAGUUCGACUUGGUGGUUAUUGUCUGUACUUUCUUUAACUGGAGAACAAAAUGACAUCAUGGAGUGAGCACAGAAUGAAGGGACCUGGGGAGUCAAGGCUCAAAAGUACCUGGGAAAGAUGGAGGGGAGAGCGCAGGUGCGGCAGAAGAGUGGCAGGGCUGGGAGAGAAAAGUACCUGGGAAAGAUGGAAGGGAGAGGGCAGGCGCGGGAGAGGAAUGGCAGGGCAGGGAGCGAAAAGCAGAGUUGGAGAGACAAGAACAUUUUGUGCUUCCCACAAAUGCCAAGACGUUAACAGGAAGGACCAGCCUCAGAGAAAAUGAGAUAAACAAAAAAGUGACCAUGAACGAGAUCACGUGGGGGGCCAAGAAGACACCAGAGUUCCUGAUCAAGCAAGAUUAAGUAAAAAAGUAAAAACCACCCAGAUACAGAGAAUGCUCAAUUGGAGUUUAGAAAAUGGAUCUUAGCUUGAUGCAAACAUUGAGAUUUAGGUUUAUGGAGGUCUUCAUAUUCUAUGACUUGACAGCAAAUUAAUUUUUUGGCAAAAGGAUUAAUGAUUCCUUUCUCCCUGAGAGGGCCAGCUGAAACUCUUUGUCUUUAUGUAUCCAGUACUAAAAUUAAAAAGACUAGUUGCCUUUUCUCGUCGUGAUUACUUAUCACGAAUGUCUCCUAGUCUCUGUAUUUGAGGAUGGGACAGAACAAUCAUGUGGGAGAGGGAAGCCCAACACCAGGAAGUCACGUGGGGGGAGGAGUAGGAACCAAUCAAACACCAAGGUCAUCUCCCAAGUCCCCACUUGGAGGUCACCAAGUGCAUUUUUCCAGAGGGCCACAGCUCGUCUUACCUUGGCUAUCCUAUUGUAUUCCAAGCAGUCCUGCAGCUCGAGUUUAUCAUUCUUUGAUGCUAUCACGGGCCUGGGAACAGCCAAAACCCAUUACUUCUUACUAGCUAUAGAGGGUCCUCUGCUAGGCACAAGGUGGGAGUGAGGGUCUAUGUUGCAGAGAUGUGCCCUGGCAGUGAACUUGGCUACAAAUAAAUGAUGAAAAUGAUCCUGGCAUGAGCACAAGCCUGUGUGCCAAAGCCAAGGAUGGGCUAGAGGGGACAGCCCAGCAUCCAGGAGGUAAUGCUCCCCUGCCUGGACUUCAAAGUCAGGUUCCCAUUGAGCAGGAACACUGCAUGGGGUAGGGCAGGAGAAACCUCAGGUCCCAGCUCCACACUGCUCACUGACUGAGCUUGAGCGAGUCACACUACCCCUUUGGGCUUCCUGUCUAUUUUAAAGUGAGGAGCUUGGAAUAGAUUUUUGUGGGUCUACCUGAUACAAUUAUCAUAUCACACCCACGGUUUGGUGGCUCACUGCUGGGGAUACAGCCUCAGGAGGCUUUAAAAGUGAAUGGCAACCGCCUGCAGUGGUUCCUACCCUUAAUCCCAGCAAUUUGGGAGUUCAAAGCAGGAGGAUCGCUUAAGCCUAGGAGUUGGAGGCUACAGUGAGUUAUGAUUACAACACUGCACUCCAGCCUGGGAGACAGACCCUGUCUCUUAAGGUUCCAAAAAAAAAAAAAAAAAAAAAGACUAAGCACCCUUUUAACUUUCACCCUUGAAAAUUAUUUUGCAAAUGCAGAGAGAGGCAAACAGAUGACUAAGAAGGGCAAGGGCUAGAACUGAAAGUAGUUGAGCAGCUCCAGAACAGAAACUGGUGCAAGAGGACUGGACGCAGGGACGGCCAUAGUAACCUGUGUUAGGAACGUCAAGGCCAAACAACUCAGACAUGAGAACGGGAACCGUGCCUACAAGAGGGGCUGAGGAAAUCACAACACAUAUUUCCCCUAGACUGAUAGAUUUCCUUGACCUCACCUGCCAGGCUUCAAAUGCUACCUCUAUCCCCAUUCCUACCUCCGACAUGGACCCAGGGGAGCUGAGGGCCCAGAAGAAAAGGACACUGCACAGCCCCGCCUUGUGCUGACUAUAAGAUUAAGCUCUAAACAAGCCAGAUGACUUGGGUCUGUCCCCUAAAUGAUGCCUGACACACCCAUCCUAUAAGCCUGCAGAGCUUAGUCACAGCAUCAGAUCUGCAUCAGGUCUCACUGCUCUUUCCACCUCAUAGCCUACACAUCCAAUGCAUCAGCAAAUGUCCUACCCUCCACAUAUGUUGAAUCUGAUCCGUCCUUGCUAAGUCACAGGAUUGCUGUGCUGCAAACCCCAGGGGCCACCACUCACACUGUGUUCUCUAUGGAUGGCACCUCCUGGGGCAUAACAUCAUAAUCAGUCAUCUCUCCUUCUUUGAGCAGUCUAGUCCCUUCACUUGUCUCCCCAUUCCCGCCUCCAUCCUGUUAUUGUCUAUAAUCCACCCAGAAACUACCAUGAACCAAAGCACAAUUCAUCUCAUCUGUAACUUCCCAUGCCAAAGUGAUUUCAGCGGUACCACAUUAAGGCCCAAGUUACUUGGUCCUUCUCUCCCAGCCACCCCACCUAGGGUGCUCUGAGCUGGUCUGGGGAUGUUUCCCAUCAUCCCAGACCCUCUUCCCACCUGGAGUACUCUAAUAACUGCAUGGGUCCAUCCCUUCACUUAGGACCUUCGCUAGAAUGAGAAGCCUUCCCCAUCAACCCUUCCAAUGUCCAUCCGCCAGCAAUAAACCCCAAAUCAUUGUCUUCUCUCCCUCCCCCUUCGGCAUGUCACUAUCGACAUGAUGUGUUUAACCAUGAAAAUGGCAACAGCGUAACAGUGCCUGGCCUACUGGGAGUUCAAAUGUUGAAAGCAUUAACCCAUUUAAUUCCAGACACAGACAUGGCACCCUAAGACUGGCUGCUUAGCCAAGUACACGGGCAAGGUGACCAACAAAAAUCCUCCAAGCUACCCCAGGACCCUCACCUCUGUCCACACUUCACUAAGUGGCAGAAGGUUAUUAUGUUUCCAUGCCUCCUUCUACAGGAGAAUGUUUUAAGCUCAACUCAUUUGCAAGUCUGGGAUGUCACAUUACCAUAACAUUUUACAUCUUAAUUAGCAAGUUCUUCUCCUUGAAACCACAUAUAGAAGAAAUAAUUAAUCCUCAGCAAAGCUGCUUUGUGGCUUUCAGAGUGUCUGAAGAAGACUGUUUUUAGUAUACGAUAACAAAAUAUGAAAUGCUCCUGGUGAUGAGAAUCUGAGGGACAUAGUCUUUGGGCUAUUGUUUGUCAUAGCAGCUCUGCCACCUGGUUGGUCACCAUGAGCCUGGCCAAGAUCGCUUCAUCUCCAGGGCAGGAGGAAAGGCACCGGUAACAACAAUCUACUUCCAUUUCCAGACGGCUGUCACUACAUCAACGGGGAGGAGAGGUGAAGGGCAGGAGCAUCAACAAGCUCAAGUCUUGAGAGAUCCCUGGCAGGAAGGAGGUACACAGUCUGGCCACAGCUCAUGAGACUUGUAUUUUUCUUUAUUUUUUUGUAGAGACGGGGUCUCACUUUGUUGCCCAGGCUAGUCUAGAACUCCUGGGCUCAAGCGAUCCUCCAGCCUCGGCCUCCCAAAGUGCUGGGAUUACAGGCGUGAGCCACCACACCCAGCCACGUGGGACUUUUAGGAUCAGGUCCAUCAGCAGCUUACAACAGGUAAGAGUGGGACUCCUACAGAGAUUCCCAGGUACUUGCUGAACAUCUUAACAGAGAUCAACCCG